UAUUUACUAGAUAACUUAUGCUCUUCCAAAAUCUAAUAAAUCUUUACUAAUAUAUGUAUUUAAUAAAUUUUCUGAGGCAGCUCCUAAUUAAAUAUGAACAAAUAAAAGUUAGAAAGAAAUUAAGAAACUUGUAAAUUCAGUGAUAUAUAUGAGGAGGAGGAGAAAGAUCGAAUACUGAAACGCCGAAACAUGAAUAAUAUAAUAACUAAACAGAUCAUGAUAAUUUACUAUGAUGAAAAUAGUAGAAGGAACAGUAAACGAGCGGAGAAGGAGCGAGAGACAGUAUCGGAAUCACCAAUCCAGAUUGAUCCUUCAUCAAAAUUUUGAGAAUAAGUGUAAGGAUCAUAAGGAACACGGAAGCUAAUCUUCUUCUUCUUCUUCAUCAUCAUCUUCUUCUUCAUCAUCAUCUUCUUCUUUUCCUUCUCCUCCUCCUCCUCCUCCUCCUCCUCUCUGGUUAUCUUCCUCCAUAGCAAUCUCCAGCUGGGUGUUUUUUGAUUCCUCAUUCCAAACGAACUGAUCAUAACCAAUCUUUGCACGCCAAUCCUCUUCCCUCUCAUCUUCCAUUUCUCCACAACACCUCCAUUUUCGACUCAUUGCAGAUCUGAUUUCUUAGCCUUUCAACUUCGCCUCUCAACAUAUAUAUAUAUAUAUAUAUAUUCUUUUUUAUGGGAAAGAGGGGUCAAGGUUCAUGUAGUACUUACUGUAUGUAUAUAUCUUAUACUAAUACAAAUUAAUUAAAUCAAUACUCACAAGUUAUGGCUUCCGCUCAUUAAUA
rnacentral:lncRNA from 1 species